GUCCUUUCCCCCUCAAAUCCCUCGUUCUCCAUUUCAUUCACGAUCAUGCGCACACACACACAUGAUCUUGCACACACCAAUCUAUAUAUCUGAUACACUACACAAAUAAAGGGCGGGGGGACAAAAAAUAGGCUUGAGAAGCCAAGCUGAGCGCAACUUUUAGAGAGACCAAACGACCCUUGAAGCUCUUCUUCUUGGACGAGACCAACCUCACACCAUUCCAUCUUCAUCAAGCUCACACAAACACAGUCAGUUGCAGAACAUUCAUUAAUCUAUUUAAAGUCAGUCCGAACUCCAGCCGAUAACCAGUCCAAACGUUCAAGCUCUGUUUCAGCCAUGUAAAGCCAUCGGAGCUUGGUGAGUUUCUUGAGCCAGCUUCGAGUUUCCGACGAUUUGGUAGAGUCCUUGUUUGCUCGCCGAUUUAAGUCGAAGUCUCCAUUCGAGGGUCAUGGUGCCGAUGAAUUUUGUCCGAGUUCCGAUUCGCAUUUCUGCUGAUUUAUUCUGGUUGAUAAUCGAUUUUUGUUGUUGAAUGAUGUGGCUCUUCAUUUGGACAAAGCUGUAAGCCCGAAGUUCCUCUAAUCUGAACGAAUCUUUUGCCAUUAAGGCCCAUCUCUUCAUUCUCUUAUUACUCCUUCAAUUUGGUGAUACAAAAUAAGAUAUUGAGUUUUGGUUUAGAUUGCAUUAAACAUGAAAUCUCUACUAUUGCUGUUGUUGCAUUUUCAACUGGAACCUAUUAGUUUUGUUAAAGCUAGUUAAUGAUUAA
rnacentral:lncRNA from 1 species